rnacentral:lncRNA from 1 species
GUUUCCAUAGAGAGGCCUCUCUGGUGUCACAUGAUGGACAUGAUAUAAUGAAACAACAUUGUGGAGAGGAAAGCAUUAGGGGAGCCCACGGCUACAAAAACAAGUGAGUGAGAAGAGGUGGGAGGAAGAGAAACUACGCCACCUCCCCUGCAGCCGAGUGCACGCAGCAGCCUGGCGUGACAAGUGGGCGACGCCGGGGGGCAGGGAGCCGGGGUCCUUGGCCCUGGCCGGGGACCCCACCGCCCACCGCGCGGAGGACAACUUUUAGCCGGCAGCCCAGACCAGCGCGGCACCUGUCUCCGGAGUCUCCACCGCUCCUCCCGAUUCAUCCCAGGGAAAUUCUCAAGAAUACGCUCUACAAAUCUACGUGCGCAUCAUUUUCACCUCGCGUCGCGCCCGGGAGGAAGGAACGAGGCAAGGAGCUAAAGCAGCGUGCGUUCAGCCCUGGGGCAUUUUAUUAAUGCUUUUACGAGUUAGAAGAGUUGGGAUAAUUUGCCAUCUGGAGUUUCUCUGCCUUGCUGAUCUGAGCUCAGACCUGCCAAUUUACCAGAGAUAAUUGAUAACACCCUGUAACAGCUGAGAGGAAAAUGGAAGAAACGGAGAUACUUUUAGUGAAGCAGAAUAAACCACUGAACAGGAAAAAUGAGGAAGCUGUGAGUACCAGUGGAAGGAACGAGCCAGGAAGAGGGACUGGAACCAUCUCAGAAGCCAUGCCCCUCAGGCUGGAACUUGCCCUGUCUCCUCGCAGAUGAGCUACCUCUUGUGUUUAAGAAUUAAAGGAAGAUGAGCUAGGAAUCAAGAAAUACGCAGAACUGAUUCCUGUCACUGGCGCCACCCUGCCACUUGCCCAGAGCUGUGGUAUAAAUUUUUUUAAUAGGCUGAAAUAAAAAUAUGAAUAGCAUUUUGGUAUUAAGCAUUAAAUUGAUAAAGGCUAUGAGAUACACCUGCUCUCAACCAUGUUAAUUUUUUAUUAUUGGUAUUAAUAAAUUAUUACUUACUAACAUAUUAACAAGAAUUGCAUUGAGAAACAAAGCAUCCACAGGCCAAAUCUUCUGAAUUUCAAAUGUUUAUAUUAAUGCGUUGUAUUCUAGAAAAGUAGAAUUGUCUUAAGUAGCUUUGUAAUAUAAAGUCAUCUAUCAGCCCAUUACACCUAUUAGAAUGUUUUAACCUUUAUUUCCCACUUUUUUGUUUCUAGACUGAGUGUACUUGGUCUGGUAUUUGUGGCAUAACUUACGGAACACAUAAGAAUGAUACAGAUACUAUUUAAUGAUGACCUAAUACAAGCUUAGAUAGCUAAGGUGAAAGCUUCUAUGGCCUUAACAUUUUCCUCUUGAAGAAUGUAUUUUCUGUAAUAAAAUACAGUGGCUACUUGAAAUCUAUAAACUUAUGUGAGGUCUGGAUAAAUCUGAGCAACUUUCUUCUUUGUGCUCCAGGAACCUACGCACUAUAUAUAUAAAUAAAGCUUAAGUAAACAUCACUGCAA